AAAAUAAAAGCAUUAAAAUUCGAAAAUGACCACUAGAUCGAACAUGUGGGAUAUAUCGCACUAUUUGUGCGUUUCGUAUCGCACUGGUGGGAUACAAGAUAUAUCGUAGGAUAAAUCGGCCAAUAUCAUCAAUAUUUAAAACACUGCUCAUAUCUAUCUUUUAUUAAAUAAAGUCAAGUCAUUCUAGAGCAAUCAACAAAAGUAACAAAGUAUUUAUAUCCUAACAUACUUGAGAGUCAAACAUGACCUCAAACAUCUAAAUGCAAUAAUACGAAUGGAACAAAACGAUGCAUUUCUGCACGUGGUGGAAAAGAGACUUUGUGAUGUUUACUUAACUCCCAUACUUCACACUCUAAAAUGGACUUGGGAGAUGAAGAGGGAAUAACAGUCUUGAGGAUCUUCAAGGACCAAUGACCUGAAUGACAAUGCCACUAAUAAGAAGAGGUACUAAAUUGUACUACUACUCCAACAUACUCAUGAUCUAGAUAAUAAAGUCCGCUAUGUUAACAACCUUCUCCAAUCUUCCUCUUCAUCCCGAGAUCCUGGAAAACACAAUGUACAGGAUAGAAGGUUACAGAACAAUUAGGGGAAUUUUUGCUCCUAUAGAGCAGAGGACAAGAGGAGAAAAGAAUUUGGACAAAUGAUACCCUCCCACUCAAUUUGGAUCUGAUACCAUUUACCAAAAUGACAAAUGAACUCGAUAAUCAAGGAUCGGCUAAGUAGAAAAUCAUGGACUUAUUUGUCAAUAUGAUCCAAUGCCUUGUGAUCAAUAACCCACGAAGAAGAAGAGUGAGAAACUGAGCAAGUUUUACCUAAUAUGACAAAGGUAGCAGUGGAGGAGAAUCGACCACUUGUGACAGACGCAUUCUUUAGUAAUUUGGAGUACUCAUCCUUUUCUAGAUUAACCAACAUCUCCAGAUGUAUUUUGCUCUUGUUGGGGUGAAGAAGCAAACUCAAUAAAACGAGAUCCGUUACUUUCUUCAGAAUGAGAGACUUGAUUUGCCCAAGCCGACUUGCCAUUUAACGGUGUGGAUUGUGAGCCCACAAUGAGUACAUUUUUGAGGUCUCUCAUGAGGGUCUACAUUUCCAAGGUCUCCCAUGAGGGUCUACAUUUCCGAGGUCUCCCAUGAGGGUCUUGUCCUCAUGUAUCAUUACAAUUUCCUCAACCUUACCUCCUUGAUUAACUGAAGCAGCACGAGCUACUCCCCUUCGUCCACCAGAUGUUUCAUGAGUUGAUCUAUCAUUAACUUUAGUAGAGUAGCCAGUAGAGCCAAUAGACACAUUUAAUAGAUGCAUACACCUCAUUGAGUGGCAAUACAUCCUUUCCUCCUAUGAUCUAGCUCGGAUUGGCUCAUAUUCAGGCUUCAAUCCUAUUAAAAAUUUGGCCACCCUAAAUUCUUCAUGCCAUUGACGCUGCUUUGGACCUUAAUAACUCGUGGGACCUUAAUUGGGCCAUAAUUGCUCCCAGGACCUCUAAUCAGACUAUAAUUGCUACUGGGACCUCUAUUGGUACCGUUAUCGCUCCCGGGACCUCUAAUCGAACAAUAAUCGAUCUCACGAUCUCUAAUCCUAAUGUAAUCACUCCAGGGACCUCUUAUCGUACUGUAAUCACUCCUAGGACCUCUAAUCAGACCGUAAUCGCUACUGAGACUAUAAUCGCUACUUGAACCUCUAAUGGGACAGUAAUCGCUCCUGAUUAACUGAACCACCACGAGCUAGUCCCCUUCGUCCACCAGAUUAUACAUGAGUUGAUCUAUCAUUAACUCUAGUAGAGUGGCCAGUAGAGUCAAUAGACACACAUUGAAUAGAUGCAUACACCUCAUUGAGCGAUGAUACAUCCUUUCCACCUUUGAUCUAGCUCGAACUGGCUCAUAUUUAGGCUUCAAUCCUAAUAAAAAUUUGGCUACCCUGAAUUCUUCACACUGUUGACGCUGCUUUUCCAAAACAAUUGUAAGGGGCUGAUAUAUAUUCGACUCUUCCCGCAUGCCUUUAAGCUUCGAAAAGUAAUCGUUGAGGGGCAUAUCGCCAUAUUGGAAUGUAAUUAUUUCUUCAAACAGUUGAUAUGUACGAGAGAGAUGCUUUUGUCACAUCUCUUGUGUGUUAUCCCUCACUUCAUUCGCAGUAUCAAGAAACACAACAUUUGCACUAAUGGAUUGUACGAUACUAUUCCAUAAUCAUGUCAUAAUUUGAGUAUUCUCCUAAACCCACUCAUCAUAUUUAUUAUCAUUCUCAUCAGGCUUCAUUGAGGUCAAGUAUUUUAACUACCCUUCAACCGUCAAGAAGACUUGCACAAAUUUCGACUACUAAAGAUAAUUUGUUCCAUUCAACUUCGUAGAGGUUAUUUGAGCCCCUAGAAAGUCUGAUGGACCAAUAAAACUAGAUUUGUGCUCAAUUUUUGUGUCCAUUGGAACACAAUAUCAAAAGGAUUAAAUGCGCACCACUUACCAAAAUCAAGUCGAAAUGCUUGCACUUGAAAGGUUCAAUCACUCAAGCCGGCACAAGCAACACAUUUCAUGAGAAGCACCAAUCAACUAACGCAUCACAGCCAAUCACAUGAAAUUUUACACGUCUUCACACCAUGAGGAUGACAACCUCCUUCACUCAACGUCUUCAAGCCAUCAACCAGGCCGGGGCACAAAUGAAAGAAAAUUCUAGAUUCUUUAAAGAACUCUCAGAAUGAGAGAAACAAAAGAGAACAAGAAGAGAAAAAGAAUGAGGAGAAAUGAAUUUCAAGGGAGGAAAGAAAAAGGAGGGGAGGACUCUUACCUUGAUCAAACCUUCUUUGAUACCAUCUUGGUUAUGAAAAGAUGUGAGAGAAAGCGGUGAGGAAAGAGAGUUGAGAGAGAGAAUAGGAAAAGAGAAAAGAAGAUUUGGGACUUGAUGUCCUCACCUCUCUUACUUUUAUUCACUUAAGAUUUUUUUUUUUUUUAAAACUAAACAAAA